GAUGAACGCUGGCGGCGUGCCUAAUACAUGCAAGUCGAGCGAACAGACGAGGAGCUUGCUCCUCUGACGUUAGCGGCGGACGGGUGAGUAACACGUGGAUAACCUACCUAUAAGACUGGGAUAACUUCGGGAAACCGGAGCUAAUACCGGAUAAUAUAUUGAACCGCAUGGUUCAAUAGUGAAAGACGGUUUUGCUGUCACUUAUAGAUGGAUCCGCGCCGCAUUAGCUAGUUGGUAAGGUAACGGCUUACCAAGGCAACGAUGCGUAACCGACCUGAGAGGGUGAUCGGCCACACUGGAACUGAGACACGGUCCAGACUCCUACGGGAGGCAGCAGUAGGGAAUCUUCCGCAAAGGGCGAAAGCCUGACGGAGCAACGCCGCGUGAGUGAUGAAGGUCUUCGGAUCGUAAAACUCUGUUAUUAGGGAAGAACAAAUGUGUAAGUAACUAUGCACGUCUUGACGGUACCUAAUCAGAAAGCCACGGCUAACUACGUG
rnacentral:rRNA from 1 species